rnacentral:rRNA from 1 species
GGGGACCCGCAAGCGGUGGAUGAUGUGGAUUAAUUCGAUGCAACGCGAAAAACCUUACCUACCCUUGACAUGUACGGAAGCCUGAAGAGAUUCGGGUGUGCUCGAAAGAGAGCCGUAACACAGGUGCUGCAUGGCUGUCGUCAGCUCGUGUCGUGAGAUGUUGGGUUAAGUCCCGCAACGAGCGCAACCCUUGUCAUUAGUUGCUACGAAAGGGCACUCUGAUGAGACUGCCGGUGACAAACCGGAGGAAGGUGGGGAUGACGUCAAGUCCCUCAUGGCCCCUUAUGGGUAGGGCUUCACACGUCAUACAAUGGUACAUACAGAGGGCCGCCAACCCGCGAGGGGGAGCUAAUCCCAAAAAGUGUAUCGUAGUCCGGAUCGCAGUCUGCAACUCGACUGCGUGAAGUUGGAAUCGCUAGUAAUCGCGGAUCAGCAUGUCGCGGUGAAUACGUUCCCGGGGUCUUGUACACACC